rnacentral:tRNA from 1 species
GGAACGGGUUGGGACGGAUCGGAACCGUAGCGUGCGCACUUGAAAACCGCUGGAGCCGCAAGGCUCCCGUGGGUUCGAAUCCCACCCCCUCCG